GGCUCUGUCUUGCAGUGGUAGCACACGCCCUUGGUAUAAGUGAGAUGCGGGUUCAACUCCCGCCUGCGGUCG